CUUCUGCUGUUGACGGUAAGGACCUGAUGAAAAUCAUCUGAUUGGGGAGUACAAAUCUCCCUGAGUUAAAAAAAAAAAAAUCUGUCAAAAACAUGUAUUUAACAGGCUUCCUGGCCCUGGAAGACAGAGGAGAGCCCAGGAAGGGUAUCUCCAAAGGGAGCACAGCAGACAGACAGCAGACCCAUCCCAUUACCCUGCCAUGAGGACAUUUUAAAAGCAUGAACAUAGGCAAGUCACUUCCCUGUUAAGGGCAUCGACAGGUACAGCGAAGAAAGAGCAUUCUGAGAGAAGACAGUAGAUGCUAUAGGGAGGUACAUGGGGCAGCUCACACUGCUAGCCCCUCGGACGGAAACAGUUCAGUACUUCUCCAGGGGUGGAUAACCACACACACAGUCAACUAGGACUAAGGGCAAUGUCACUGGAUAAACUGUGAUGGAGUUCCAGCGUGGGUUACCUGGCAGCCACCAGCACUAGAGAAAUGAUUUUGACAAAUGGCAAGAAAUGUCCACGAUUUAAUAUUAAGACAAAACUGGAUUCAGAACUGUUAUCUAUAGCAUGUUUCUGACUUUAUAUAAUCCGUACUAAUAGAAGUAACCACCAGAAAGCUGAUUAACCUUAUGUUCUUUCUGAUUACCUGUACUUUAAGAUUCCCAGAAUUCCAAGUUCCCAUGGAACUCUCUCUGUUGACCAGACCAGUCUGCCUCCAGGGUGCUCCACUGCCCUGAUAAGGAAACCUUGAGUAGCAUGCUCUUCCUCCCUCAGUUUCUCCAACUACAGCUAAGGAGUGUGAGACACUUUGCCUUGUAUGGAAAAGCUGUGGCGUGAUUUUUAAUGCUGCCCCUAGUUCACUGAAGGCCUCAUUUCUCCCUUGAUGGACCUUCAAGAUGGAAAACCAAGUCCGGCGGAUCUCUGUGAGUUCGAGGCCAGCCUUGUCUACAAAGCAGGUUCCAGGGCAGCCAGAGCCACACACAGAGAAACCCAGGUUUCAAAGAAAGAAAAAAAAAAAAGACGGCGAUGACAACGGAAGCCAAGGUUCUCCCACCCCACUUCUAAGUACGUCAGACUCAGGGUUGCUGUUGAGUGGGCUCCACAAUCUGGGUUGGCACACAUAAGCUGGGGCACACCUGUUCGAGGUAGGCAUGUCCCCCAUCCAAUGGCUGUUUCAGGGCAUUGCAAAACCCUUACACCCUGCUCCAUCCAGUUACUCCCAGCCAAAUUCUGCUCCACCUUGUGAGAAAGAACAGUACUGGGGGCUGAAGAGUGAAAUAUCACUAAUAACCGGGGAGAGUGGGUGGUGUCGCCCUCAUCAGCUGGGGGAUGGGAAGUGAUGUAACACAUGUUGCAACACUGGUGAGUACCAGGAUGGAGAAUGAACCCAGGCUUGACUAGGGUACCAGGCUGCCUGGCUCAGACUGGGAACCCCCAUCCCAGACAAAAAUGACAGGAUGCACAGAGUCGGGUUCCCUCAAAGAGAAGCCAGUUGUGGUGGCACACACCUGCAAUCACAGCAUUUGGGAUGCUGAGGCAGAAGGAUUCCGAGUUGGAAGACAUCCUGUGCUAUGAGUGGAAGGGUUUUCCCCCCUCCUCUUCUUGAUGGAAUGCUGAACAUCAGGAACAGAACAGGAAGUAAAGCUGAGAACUAAAGGUCCAUCCCGACUCAGGGAAGAAGGCAGAGAAGAGUAGACCGAGACAGUGUGCAAAGAUGGCCACGAGCACUCUCCAGCACCUUGUGCGAUGUGAUGGCCCUCCUCUUCACACUUGGCGGAGUCUAUUUCUGAUUCCUGACCUUGUGACCGUUUCGAUGCACGGUGUGUGAUGGAAUGGACACCGCAUGCUGUGUAGUCGGGGGACCGUCAUUCCAUCGGAAUCCAGUCACCACAGGUGCUAAAAAGGCCGUCAGGAUAAAGCCAGGCCCUGUGCCCCGCUGUCACAACGUGUACAGUCACCCCAGCCUCACAUGACCACGUGUCCCACUGCAGCUGCACCAGAGCUGAAACAACUCGGAACUGGGGAGAAAUCAAGGCUCUCGCUGCCUUCAGCUAGUUGGCGGCUCUAACUUGGAGGCAGAGAACUGCUAUGGACCCCUAAUGGACAUCUCCUUUGCUGUCUUGCCCUUUCUUUAAGGCCCUGACCACGGCUACUUCCUCAAAUCGUCUUGGACCUGAAGACAGCACUCCCUUCUCUGACUCCUCUGCCUUUUGCUCCUGGUGGGAUUAUCUCAUUUUAUUUUGAGGCAGGAUCUCUCUACAUAGCUCUGGCUAUCCUGGAACUCACUAUGUAGACCAGGCCAGCCUCGAACUCACUCACAGAGAUCUCCCUUUCUCUGCUCCCUGAGUGCUGGGAUUAAAGGUGUGCACCACCACACACCUUGUUUGAGUCUUGUCCCACACCAUCUCUUCUCAAUCCCAGGUGCCUGCACAAGGUGCUGAACAUCCAUGUCACGGAACUACUAAUUUCUAUGUACUGUGCAGCACUUCAUGGAGGGCAUGGUGUGACCCCAAGCUUGGGAACUGCUCACAACACUAGAGUGUUAUUGCCAUCCUUGUGUCAGAUGCUAAAACUGAGGUUUAGAGGUAACUGAUUUGCUGAGGAGAUAGGUGGGGCUGGGGCUGGGAUCCCAAUGCACACUUCCCCAGGGGUUAUAGAAACUGCUCCUACAUGGAAGGGCUCUGCUCCCCAUUACAGGGGAGGGCCAGUCAGGCAUUCUUUCAAUCUAGCCAUGCCCUGGGCUUUCCUGCGGGUGUAGGAGCUCCAACCCAGGAACCCAGAAUUCUCCUGGCCAGAGUGUAGCCCACCCAGGAGACACACAGCCACCCAUGCAUCAUCUCUGGCUUCCAAUGCGCUGGUCUGCCCACAGGCAUGUCCCUUCCCCCUUCUUUCCAAGGUGGAAAACUCAGGGUGACCAGUCCCCGGGAAAGGGGAGAC